AGAGUUUGAUCAUGGCUCAGAUUGAACGCUGGCGGCAGCCCUUAUACAUGCAAGUCGAACGAGAAAGUUCCUUCGGGAGCGAGUAAAGUGGCGGACGGGUGAGUAACGCGUAGGAAUCUACCUUUCAGUGGGGGAUAGCUCGGGGAAACUCGAAUUAAUACCGCAUACACCCUUCGGGGGAAAGGGGGCCUCUCCUUGGAAGCUCUCGCUGUUAGAUGAGCCUGCGUGAGAUUAGCUUGUUGGUAAGGUAAUGGCUUACCAAGGCUACGAUCUCUAGCUGGUCUGAGAGGACGAUCAGCCACACUGGGACUGAGACACGGCCCAGACUCCUACGGGAGGCAGCAGUAGGGAAUAUUGGACAAUGGGGGAAACCCUGAUCCAGGCAUGCCGCGUGUGUGAAGAAGGCCUUAGGGUUGUAAAGCACUUUAAGUGAGGAAGAAAAGAUUUAAAUUAAUACUUUAAAUCCCUGACAUUACUCACAGAAUAAGGACCGGCUAACUCCGUGCCAGCAGCCGCGGUAAUACGGAGGGUCCAAGCGUUAAUCGGAAUUACUGGGCGUAAAGCGCGCGUAGAUGGUUUAUUCAGUUGGGUGUGAAAUCCCUGGGCUCAACCUAGGAACUGCAUUCAAAACUUAUAAACUAGAGUACGAAAGAGGAGAGUAGAAUUCAUGGUGUAGCGGUGAAAUGCGUAGAGAUCAUGAGGAAUACCAGUGGCGAAGGCGACUCUCUGGUUCGAGACUGACAUUGAGGUGCGAAAGCGUGGGUAGCAAACAGGAUUAGAUACCCUGGUAGUCCACGCCGUAAACGAUGAGAACUAGCCGUUGGAUUUUUAGAUUCAGUGGCGCAGCUAACGCAUUAAGUUCUCCGCCUGGGGAGUACGGCCGCAAGGCUAAAACUCAAAUGAAUUGACGGGGGCCCGCACAAGCGGUGGAGCAUGUGGUUUAAUUCGAUGCAACGCGAAGAACCUUACCAACCCUUGACAUCCAGUGGAAGUUUUAGAGAUAAAACUGUGCCUUUGGGAACACUGUGACAGGUGUUGCAUGGCUGUCGUCAGCUCGUGUCGUGAGAUGUAUGGUUAAGUCCAGUAACGAGCGCAACCCUUAUCCUUAUUUGCCAGCACUUCGGGUGGGAACUAUAGGGAGACUGCCGUGAAUAACACGGAGGAAGGUGGGGACGACGUCAAGUCAUCAUGGCCCUUACGGGUUGGGCUACACACGUGCUACAAUGGGAGAUACAGAUGGUUGCGAAAGCGCGAGCUGGAGCUAAUCCCACAAAGUCUUCCUCAGUCCGGAUUGGAGUCUGCAACUCGACUCCAUGAAGUAGGAAUCGCUAGUAAUCGCGAAUCAGAAUGUCGCGGUGAAUACGUUCUCGGGCCUUGUACACACCGCCCGUCACGUCAUGGGAGUGUGUUGUACCAGAAGUGGCUUGCCUAACCUUCGGGAGGGCGGCCCCCACGGUAUGAUACGCGACUGGGACGAAGUCAUAACAAGGUAGCCGUA
rnacentral:rRNA from 1 species